UACGUAGGCAGCGAGCGUUGUUCGGAAUUACUGGGCGUAAAGAGUGUGUAGGCGGUGCUCUAAGUUCGGUGUGAAAUCUCCUGGCUCAACUGGGAGGGUGCGCCGGAAACUGGAGUGCUUGAGCGUGGGAGAGGAAAGCGGAAUUCUGGUGUAGCGGUGAAAUGCGUAGAUAUCAGGAGGAACACCCUUGUGGUGUAGACGGCUUUCUGGACCAUAGCUGACGCUGAAGACACGAAAAGCCGUUGGGUAGCAAACAGG
rnacentral:rRNA from 1 species